GGUUAUAGCUCAGUGGUAGAAUGCUUGCCUGGCAUGUACAAGAACCUGGGUUCUAUCCCCAGAACUG
rnacentral:tRNA from 1 species